rnacentral:rRNA from 1 species
GACGAACGCUGGCGGCGUGCUUAACACAUGCAAGUCGUACGGUAAGGCCCUUUCGGGGGUACCCGAGUGGCGAACGGGUGAGUAACACGUGAGUAACCUGCCCACAACUUUGGGAUAACGCUAGGAAACUGGGGCUAAUACUGGAUAUGUGCUCCUGCUGCAUGGUGGGGGUUGGAAAGCUCCGGCGGUUGUGGACGGACUCGCGGCCUAUCAGCUUGUUGGUGGGGUAGUGGCCUACCAAGGCGGCGACGGGUAGCCGGCCUGAGAGGGUGACCGGCCACAUUGGGACUGAGAUACGGCCCAGACUCCUACGGGAGGCAGCAGUGGGGAAUAUUGCACAAUGGGCGCAAGCCUGAUGCAGCAACGCCGCGUGCGGGAUGACGGCCUUCGGGUUGUAAACCGCUUUCAGCAGGGACGAAGCUUUUUGUGACGGUACCUGCAGAAGAAGCACCGGCUAACUACGUG